rnacentral:rRNA from 1 species
AUCAUGGCUCAGAUUGAACGCUGGCGGCAGGCUUAACACAUGCAAGUCGAACGGUAACAGGAGAGAGCUUGCUUUCUUGCUGACGAGUGGCGGACGGGUGAGUAAUGCUUGGGAAUCUGGCUUAUGGAGGGGGAUAACGACGGGAAACUGUCGCUAAUACCGCGUAGAGUCGAGAGACGAAAGUGCGGGACCGCAAGGCCGCAUGCCAUAGGAUGAGCCCAAGUGGGAUAGG